rnacentral:lncRNA from 1 species
AUCAUUAAGCAUGGCUCGGUGUCUAUUGAUGACAUUCCAUAUUAGUUCUCAUAAUUCAUGACUAACGUUAUGAAUUUAGGAAACUAACUUUCCCUAAAUUCAUCAUGCUUUGGCCAAAUACUUUAUACAAGUUAAUCAAGGAUUGAGAACAAGUGAGAUACAUCCCCUCAUAUCACUUGGGGUGAUGAAUCCUCUCUUGACCACUCAUUCACCUUCGCAUAAUCAAGGAUUGAGAACAAGUGAGAUACAUCCCCUCAUAUCACUUAAGGUGAUGAAUCCUCUCUUGACCACUCAUUC